UGUGACCGCAAGGAGCGUCCUAAGGUAAAACCAGUAACUGGGGCUAAGUCGUAACAAGGUAGCCGUACCGGAAGGUGUGGCUGGAACACCUCCUUU
rnacentral:rRNA from 1 species